rnacentral:rRNA from 1 species
AUGAACGCUAGCGGCAGGCUAACACAUGCAAGUCGAGGGGCAGCGCGAGUAGCAAUACUUGGCGGCGACCGGCGACAAGGGUGCGUAACGCGUGAGCAACAUGCCCGUAUCAGGGGGAUAAUCCAGGGAAACUUGGUCUAAUACCCAUAGUAAUUUUGUAAGGCAUCUUAUAAGAUUUAAAGCUUUGGUGGAUACGGAUUGGCUCGCGUGACAUUAGCUGGAUGGUGAGGUAACGGCUUACCAUGGCUAUGAUGUCUAGGGGUUCUGAGAGGAAGGUCCCCCACACUGGAACUGAGACACGGUCCAGACUCCUACGGGAGGCAGCAGUGAGGAAUAUUGGACAAUGGAUGGAAAUCUGAUCCAGCCAUGCCGCGUGAAGGAAGAAAGGUCCUAUGGAUUGUAAACUUCUUUUGUAUGGGAGCAAUAAGGCCUACGAGUAGGUUGAUGAGAGUACCAUACGAAUAAGCACCGGCUAACUCCGUGCCAGCAGCUGC